UGGGGAAUAUUGGACAAUGGGCGAAAGCCUGAUCCAGCCAUGCCGCGUGUGUGAAGAAGGUCUUCGGAUUGUAAAGCACUUUGAGUUGGGAGGAAGGGCAUUAACCUAAUACGUUAGUGUUUUGACGUUACCGACAGAAUAAGCACCGGCUAACUCUGUGCCAGCAGCCGCGGUAAUACAGAGGGUGCAAGCGGUAAUCGGAAUUACUGGGCGUAAAGCGCGCGUAGGUGGUUUGUUAAGUUGGAUUUGAAAUCCCCGGGCUCAACCUGGGAACUGCAUUCAAAACUGACUGACUAGAGUAUGGUAGAGGGUGGUGGAAUUUCCUGUGUAGCGGUGAAAUGCGUAGAUAUAGGAAGGAACACCAGUGGCGAAGGCGACCACCUGGACUAAUACUGACACUGAGGUGCGAAAGCGUGGGGAGCAAACA
rnacentral:rRNA from 1 species